rnacentral:lncRNA from 1 species
AUCUCUCCACUAGGCCACUCAACAAUAUUUGCUACUAACAUACUAUCAUAAAUAUAUAAACCGGAAUGAAAAAAUAAAUAAAUAGAAAAAAGAUUAAGAACAUAUAAACAUUUUAUAUUUUUUUUAUCUCUGUUAAGACUCAGUAAAAUAAACUAAAAAAUAAAAAAAUAAAAAAAUAAAUUUAAAAAAGAAAAGAAAGAAAAUAAAUGAAAACGAAAGAAAAAACAACAGAGGUUCGUCUUCCUCCCUCUCUCUCGCAUCUUACGAGUUCAGACCUUCCCCAACAAUGGCAUCCUCACGCACUCGCCCCUCUCAUCCCUCUUAUGACGUCGCUCAUCAACGAAGCCCUCUUACUUCUCAAAACCCAACGAAUCAAACUCUCUCAACUUUCACAAAUAUCUUCAGACAACAAGCUAGGAGAAAAAUAGAGAGAAAGAAAGAAAAGUCCUUACAGAAUGUCGCAGUGGUGGCGGUGUAGGACGUGAAGAAGCUGGCCUCCAGGUAAUUGAUUUUGGGAUUUUAGGGUUUUUCCGCCUCUAGCUCUCUGUUGUUCUCUAGGGUUUUUUCUUUACUGAUUUGCCUCUCCUCUUUAUAUUCUGUGAAUUAGGGUUACAAAUUGGGUCUUUGCUGUUCAAAAGGAGUGUUUCUGCAAAGCACUUUGGAUGCUCAGACACAGAAUUACCCUAUCCAUGUUAGAUUCAAGAAAAGGUAUCCUUCACAAACUUUCUUCUCUGCUUUGACCUCAUACCAAUUUGGGAUGUUUUUGGACUUUGCCCUCUGACUGUUGGUUAAUGGUUUUGCACUUUAGGUUUUGCAAAUUGACUGAUUAAUGUGUCCCUUUUUACCGCAGUAAAAAANNN